CCUACGGGUGGCAGCAGUGGGGAAUAUUGCACAAUGGGGGAAAGCCUGAUCCAGCGAAGCCGCGUGAGUGAAGACGUAUCUCGGUACGUAAAGCUCUAUCAGCAGGGAAGAAAAUGACGGUACCUGACUAAGAAGCCCCGGCUAACUACGAGCACGCAGCCGCGGCAAUACGGAGGGGGCAAGGGUUAUACGGAUUUACUGGGGUUAAAGGGAGCUUAGGCGGGAGCACAAGUCUGGAGUGAAAUCUCGGGGCUUAACCCCGGAACUGCUGUGGAAACUGUGCGGCUGGAGUGCAGGAGGGGUAGGCGGAAUGCGUGGUGUAGCGGUGAAAUGCGUAGAUAUUAGGAGGAACACCGGUGGCGAAGGCAGCUUACUGGACUGUAACUGACGUUGAGGCUCGAAAGCGUGGGGAGCAAACAGGAUUAGAUACCCGAGUAGUC
rnacentral:rRNA from 1 species